rnacentral:rRNA from 1 species
UAAUUGAAGAGUUUGAUCAUGGCUCAGAUUGAACGCUGGCGGCAGGCCUAACACAUGCAAGUCGAGCGGCAGCACAGAGGAACUUGUUCCUUGGGUGGCGAGCGGCGGACGGGUGAGUAAUGCCUGGGAAAUUGCCCGGUAGAGGGGGAUAACCAUUGGAAACGAUGGCUAAUACCGCAUAACCUCGCAAGAGCAAAGCAGGGGA